UCGCCGUAGCCGGGGAUGAAGAGGGAGCCGACGUUCCAGACGACGGUGGUGACGGCCCGGGUGCCGUUGCCGUCGUUCCACUGCUCGACGACGUC
rnacentral:tRNA from 1 species